rnacentral:rRNA from 1 species
UACGUAGGUGGCAAGCGUUGUCCGGAAUUAUUGGGCGUAAAGAGCUUGUAGGCGGUUUGUCGCGUCUGCCGUGAAAAUCCGGGGCUCAACCCCGGACUUGCGGUGGGUACGGGCAGACUAGAGUGUGGUAGGGGAGACUGGAAUUCCUGGUGUAGCGGUGAAAUGCGCAGAUAUCGGGAGGAACACCAGUAGCGAAGGCGGCUCGCUGGACAGUUCCUGACGCUGAGGCACGAAGGCCAGGGGAGCAAACGGGG